AAUUGUGUGUGUGUGCAUGUGUGUGUGUGUGUGUGUGUGUGUUUUCUGGGUAGAAGUUUUCUGGCUUGCUGUAGAAUCUUCUGUCCAAAUAGUCAUCGAUUUUCAUGGUCUUCUGAAUAUUUUCCAAUUUCAAAUUAUUUCAGGUUUUAGCUACAGAAAAACAAAUUAAACAAAAAUGUCAACAUAAAAGACUGCGGCUAAAUGUAAAAAUUUAAGAGCUUAGGAUCAAAAAUAAUAAGAUCACUGUUAUGAAAUUAGAAGAGACUAAUCAAAGUAAAAGUAGCUGUGACUAAGGACUAUGAAAAUAUAAAGGGAUUAACAUAUGUGAUAAUAGGCUAAUUAAACCUUAGCUUUUCACUGUGAUGAUUUUAUAGCAUCUUCUUGUUGUUGCCAGUUUGGAAGCUGCCAGCAACUAUUUUCUUAAUUGCAAAAGGAGACAAUAUGUGUUCCACCGUCUCAUUCAUAACAUUUAACGCAGACACUAUUAGGACACUGUAUGGAGGUUGAAAACGACCAUGUUAUUUGGAGAGCCUGGGGGAUGACAGAGAAGGGGGAAAGAGGAUGUGUUUUAAAACAAAAACCGACACAAAUCCUCAGAAGAAAUAUUUAACUAGAAUUUGUACAGAAAAAGUCUACUUGUCUUGAUAGACUAGCCUGCCCCUGUAAUAAAACCUCCCAAAGUCAACAGUUCAUAAAGUCUUUUGUUCUAGUAAAAGGGUCUUUAAUUUUUAACACAAACUCAUACUUUGGUAUGCAUGGGCUUAAGUAAAAUUAGAAGACACGUAUAUAAUAGGAUUUAAUGGAUUAUCAUCUGCAUUUUCCAAAGAUGUCAGCUUCUCUCAGCUCUGAUGGAGUAGCACUUAAUGUAAAUUUAAUUUGAAGUGAUGUAUGGAAGGCUUGAGGUGGUACUCCGUGAUUCCCUAACUGCCUGGAGAGCCUCUGUGGGUAGCAUCUGGAUUUGGCGGCUCCACAUGCCCAGCAGCAUCUACUAACUAGGAUUAAUGAGGUAGCCUGUUCACCAGUGAUCCAAAGGAGGUAUGCUACAUUUACUCCCAACAAUAUGAAUAGGAGGGCUAGUUUCCUUUGGGGGCACACUCUAUGAUGAAACUUAAUGAUGGACUUGAUAUUAGGUGUAAUAAAUAUACUGUAUUGGAAGCACUUUUGCUUUGUCAAAUUUAAAUAUUAUUUAAUCAUAAAAUUGUGUUUGGUGGCUAGGGUUGAACUAAUUGUUGCUAACUCUGUGUGUAUAUAUGUGUGUGAGAGAGAUUGUGGAUGUUGUGUGUGUAUUAAGUAUGAGUAAAUCACAGACUGCUGAGUUAGGCAAAACUUAAUUCAUUCUCAACUCAUUUAGGCAUCAAAAUUUUAUUUUGUCUUUGUGUCUAACUGAGCAUUGAAUAAAAUCGCAGCUAAUUUCAAAUUCCCUUUGUCAUCAUGGUUUUCAGCCAAAAGUCUAUAAUAAAUGGUCAGAAGAUGAGCUGAGACUGAAUGAAUAGU
rnacentral:lncRNA from 1 species